rnacentral:rRNA from 1 species
UACGUAGGGGGCUAGCGUUGUCCGGAAUCAUUGGGCGUAAAGAGCGUGUAGGCGGCUCGGUAAGUCCGCUCUGAAAGCCCGGGGCUCAACCCCGGGAGGCGGGUGGAUACUGCUGAGCUCGAGUCCGGAAGAGGAGUGUGGAAUUCCUGGUGUAGCGGUGAAAUGCGCAGAUAUCGAGGAGGAACACCAAGUGGCGAAGGCAGCACUCUGGGACGGUACUGACGCUGAGACGCGAAAGCGUGGGGAGCAAACAGG